GAAAGAACCUGGCAGGGGAAAUACCAUGAUCACAAAGGUGGUUUUCCCAGGGCGAGGCUUAUCCAUUGCACUCCGGAUGUGCUGACCCCUGUGAUUUCUCCAAAUGUGGGAAACUCGACUGCAUAAUUUGUGGCAGUGGGGGACUGCAUUCGUGCUUUCUCUUG
rnacentral:snRNA from 1 species